rnacentral:rRNA from 1 species
CCUACGGGAGGCAGCAGUGAGGAAUAUUGGUCAAUGGACGAGAGUCUGAACCAGCCAAGUAGCGUGAAGGAUGACUGCCCUAUGGGUUGUAAACUUCUUUUAUAAAGGAAUAAAACGAGGCACGUGUGCCUUUUUGCAUGUACUUUAUGAAUAAGGAUCGGCUAACUCCGUGCCAGCAGCCGCGGUAAUACGGAGGAUCCGAGCGUUAUCCGGAUUUAUUGGGUUUAAAGGGAGCGUAGAUGGGUUGUUAAGUCAGUUGUGAAAGUUUGCGGCUCAACCGUAAAAUUGCAAUUGAUACUGGCAGUCGUGAGUACAGUUGAGGUAGGCGGAAUUCGUGGUGUAGCGGUGAAAUGCUGAGAUAUCACGAAGAACCCCGAUUGCGAAGGCAGCUUACUAAACUGUGACUGACAUUGAGGCUCGAAAGUGUGGGUAUCAAACAGGAUUAGAUACCCUGGUAGUG